rnacentral:rRNA from 1 species
UGGCGGAGGUCUACCAUGCAGUCGAACGGUAACAUUUCUAGCUUGCUAGAAGAUGACGAGUGGCGGACGGGUGAGUAAUGCUUGGGAACUUGCCUUUGCGAGGGGGAUAACAGUUGGAAACGACUGCUAAUACCGCAUAAUGUCUUCGGACCAAACGGGGCUUCGGCUCCGGCGCAAAGAGAGGCCCAAGUGAGAUUAGCUAGUUGGUAAGGUAACGGCUUACCAAGGCGACGAUCUCUAGCUGUUCUGAGAGGAAGAUCAGCCACACUGGGACUGAGACACGGCCCAGACUCCUACGGGAGGCAGCAGUGGGGAAUAUUGCACAAUGGGGGAAACCCUGAUGCAGCCAUGCCGCGUGUGUGAAGAAGGCCUUCGGGUUGUAAAGCACUUUCAGUUGUGAGGAAAAGUUAGUAGUUAAUACCUGCUAGCCGUGACGUUAACAACAGAAGAAGCACCGGCUAACUCCGUGCCAGCAGCCGCGGUAAUACGGAGGGUGCGAGCGUUAAUCGGAAUUACUGGGCGUAAAGCGCACGCAGGCGGUUUGUUAAGCUAGAUGUGAAAGCCCCGGGCUCAACCUGGGAUGGUCAUUUAGAACUGGCAGACUAGAGUCUUGGAGAGGGGAGUGGAAUUCCAGGUGUAGCGGUGAAAUGCGUAGAUAUCUGGAGGAACAUCAGUGGCGAAGGCGACUCCCUGGCCAAAGACUGACGCUCAUGUGCGAAAGUGUGGGUAGCGAACAGGAUUAGAUACCCUGGUAGUCCACACCGUAAACGCUGUCUACUAGCUGUGUGUGCCUUUAAGGCGUGCGUAGCGAAGCUAACGCGCUAAGUAGACCGCCUGGGGAGUACGGCCGCAAGGUUAAAACUCAAAUGAAUUGACGGGGGCCCGCACAAGCGGUGGAGCAUGUGGUUUAAUUCGAUGCAACGCGAAGAACCUUACCUACACUUGACAUGCUGAGAAGUACUAGAGAUAGUUUCGUGCCUUCGGAACUCAGACCAGGUGCUGCUGGCUGCCGCAGCUCGUGCCUGA